GAUGAACGCUGGCGGCGUGCCUAAUACAUGCAAGUCGAGCGAACGGACGAGGAGCUUGCUUCUCUGAUGUUAGCGGCGGACGGGUGAGUAACACGUGGAUAACCUACCUAUAAGACUGGGAUAACUUCGGGAAACCGGAGCUAAUACCGGAUAAUAUUUUGAACCGCAUGGUUCAAAAGUGAAAGACGGUCUUGCUGUCACUUAUAGAUGGAUCCGCGCUGCAUUAGCUAGUUGGUAAGGUAACGGCUUACCAAGGCAACGAUGCAUAGCCGACCUGAGAGGGUGAUCGGCCACACUGGAACUGAGACACGGUCCAGACUCCUACGAGAGGCAGCAGUAGGGAAUCUUCCGCAAUGGGCGAAAGCCUGACGGAGCAACGCCGCGUGAGUGAUGAAGGUCUUCGGAUCGUAAAACUCUGUUAUUAGGGAAGAACAAAUGUGUAAGUAACUAUGCACGUCUUGACGGUACCUAAUCAGAAAGCCACGGCUAACUACGUGCCAGCAGCCGCGGUAAUACGUAGGUGGCAAGCGUUAUCCGGAAUUAUUGGGCGUAAAGCGCGCGUAGGCGGUUUUUUAAGUCUGAUGUGAAAGCCCACGGCUCAACCGUGGAGGGUCAUUGGAAACUGGAAAACUUGAGUGCAGAAGAGGAAAGUGGAAUUCCAUGUGUAGCGGUGAAAUGCGCAGAGAUAUGGAGGAACACCAGUGGCGAAGGCGACUUUCUGGUCUGUAACUGACGCUGAUGUGCGAAAGCGUGGGGAUCAAACAGGAUUAGAUACCCUGGUAGUCCACGCCGUAAACGAUGAGUGCUAAGUGUUAGGGGGUUUCCGCCCCUUAGUGCUGCAGCUAACGCAUUAAGCACUCCGCCUGGGGAGUACGACCGCGAGGUUGAAGCUCAAAGGAAUUGACGGGGACCCGCACAAGCGGUGGAGCAUGUGGUUUAAUUCGAAGCAACGCGAAGAACCUUACCAAAUCUUGACAUCCUUUGACAACUCUAGAGAUAGAGCCUUCCCCUUCGGGGGACAAAGUGACAGGUGGUGCAUGGUUGUCGUCAGCUCGUGUCGUGAGAUGUUGGGUUAAGUCCCGCAACGAGCGCAACCCUUAAGCUUAGUUGCCAUCAUUAAGUUGGGCACUCUAAGUUGACUGCCGGUGACAAACCGGAGGAAGGUGGGGAUGACGUCAAAUCAUCAUGCCCCUUAUGAUUUGGGCUACACACGUGCUACAAUGGACAAUACAAAGGGCAGCGAAACCGCGAGGUCAAGCAAAUCCCAUAAAGUUGUUCUCAGUUCGGAUUGUAGUCUGCAACUCGACUACAUGAAGCUGGAAUCGCUAGUAAUCGUAGAUCAGCAUGCUACGGUGAAUACGUUCCCGGGUCU
rnacentral:rRNA from 1 species